rnacentral:rRNA from 1 species
UCGCUACUACCGAUUGAAUGUUUAGGUGAGAUCUUCAGACUGGAGCGUUACCGCUGGCAACAGCAGUGAUGCCCUGGGAAGUUGCUCAAACUUGAUCAUUUAGAGGAAGUAA